rnacentral:tRNA from 1 species
UGUCCUAAGUAGCCUAGUGGUCAUGGCAUCUGCCCGGUAAGCGGAAGGUCGUGGGUUCGAUUCCCAUCCCUUGACAC